rnacentral:rRNA from 1 species
UACGUAGGGGGCUAGCGUUGUCCGGAAUCAUUGGGCGUAAAGCGCGUGUAGGCGGUCCGGUAAGUCCGCUGUGAAAGUCGGGGGGCUCAACCCUCGGAUGCCGGUGGAUACUGUGGGGCUAGAGUACGGAAGAGGCGAGUGGAAUUCCUGGUGUAGCGGUGGAAUGCGCAGAUAUCAGGAGGAACACCAAUAGCGAAGGCAGCUCGCUGGGACGUUACUGACGCUGAGGCGCGAAAGCGUGGGGAGCGAACAGG